AUGCCGCGUGAGUGAUGAAGGCCUUCGGGUUGUAAAGCUCUUUUGGCGGGGACGAUAAUGACGGUACUUAUACCUCAAGCUCCGGACCGCUCCCGGCCAACAACCCCCCGCUUACUUCGGGGCCUAGCGUUGCUCGGAAUCACUGGUGGUAAAGUUCGCUUGAAUUACUGGGUCUUUCAGGGGUGAAAGCCCGUCUUCCAACUCGGGAAGUGCCUCCCAGGCUGAACCUGGGGAUUUCGGUAGAGGUGGGUGGAAUUCCGAGUGUAGAGGUGAAAUUCAUAUAUCUUGGGAAGAACACCAUUGGCAAAGGCGGCGAAGUGGCCCGAUGCUGACGCUGAGGUCCUGGACCGUGGGGAGCAAACAGGAUUAAAUACCCUGGUAGUCCACGCCGUAAACUAUGCUUGCUAGCCGUUGGCGAGCAUGCUUGUCAGUGGCGCAGCUAACGCUUUAACCAUUCCGCCUGGGGAGUACGGUCUCAAGAUUACAACUCG
rnacentral:rRNA from 1 species